AGUCAUUGGUUAACGUGUGGUAAAACCAGACCAAUUGGAUGUUGAUUCAGAGGGUAUAAAAGCCCUGAGAGGUUUCGGAGCGAGAUGCGUCAUCCAGUGGUACCGCCCUCUUGGCGGACGCGGAUUUUAUGAAUGAAUGGAUAAUGCUCGUUCCUUCGGGUGUCUCAUCACCGAGUAUGUGAUGUUCGUAACCUUUGGGAAUGAAUUGGUGACAUGUAGCCAACGCCUUCACGGUGUCCGUAACCACAUUAAAUGGGACGAGUGUUAAUCUGAAGAUGACUGCACUGCUGCCUUGCCUGGGUCUCAUUUGCUCAAUUUGGUAGUUGGACGCUCACGAAUCCGCGACAAUGAUAUUGCCCUCCUUUAGGCUGCUAUAGGACUGAGGUGGGGUGCUGACGGCGUGCUUGACCACGUCAUUUGAUUACGGGACUGUGAUCAUGAAGGUCUGAAUUGACUUUUAUCCACUGCUUUUAAAGUGCAGCCUUUCUCUCUGGUCGCUGGGAGCACGUGACCCAACUACCUUCAGCUGCCGCUUAUGGUUGUUUGUCGGUUUAUUAAAUUGCCUUGAUUAUGCUUUUUGUUUUAUGUUUUAGUUAUUAAUGUCUGUCUUUUUGUAUAAGUUUAAUUGUUUUGAUUGUAUUUUGUUUGAAGUGGGAUGCGUUGGCUGGGGAUUGAAAUUCACAAAUUGCGGUUUGCUGUUUUGCAGUGCUUCACUAACUUUGCGGUAUUGAGUGUGGGGUGUAAACUACACAAUCCCUGCCAGCAACUCUCACUUUAAUUUUAUUGUCUUUUUUCCGUAUGUGUUGUGAAGCUUAAAUUGUGACUCUUGAGGGAUGAUUAUUUUUUAUUCUAUAAAAUAAAGAAUUUGUAUAUUUUUCUAUAU